rnacentral:snRNA from 1 species
UUGAAUUGAGGGUAAAAAAGU